CAGUAGCCGCGGUAAUACGAGGGGGGCAAGCGUUGUUCGGAAUUAUUGGGCGUAAAGGGUGCGUAGGCGGUUUGACAAGUCUUGUGUGAAAUCUCUGGGCUCAACCCAGAGUCUGCACGGGAAACUGUCGGGCUAGAGGAUGGGAGAGGUGAGUGGAAUUUCCGGUGUAGCGGUGAAAUGCGUAGAUAUCGGAAGGAACACCUGUGGCGAAAGCGGCUCACUGGACCAUUUCUGACGCUGAUGCACGAAAGCUAGGGGAGCAAACAGGAUUAGAUACCCCAGUAGUCCCUGUCUCUUAUAC
rnacentral:rRNA from 1 species